UUAAAUAGUAACAGGGUUGAAUCCUAAGAGCUCUUGUUCAAAGGAGGCAGGGAUCCUAUAGAUAAUGUUGAGUUACUGUUAGAUUUCAUCCAAGGAGGCAUGGAAUUUAAUAGAGUAAAAGAUAAUUUAUUUGGCUGCGUGAAGAAUGGUUUGACGGUGAAGCUGGAUGAGAGGCAAUUAGGAAUUAACUCAGGAUGGCCUCCAGAGUACAGUGUCAGCUAUGGCCACAGAGACCGGCAGGAGAGAGAAUUACUAGAAAUAUUUAGAAGGGAGAAUAGUACAGUAAUUAAUGAGUGAUAAGAUGGUGGCCAACACCAUAACUGCCCUUAGCUGCUAUUUCUCAAGAUCAAGACUUUAUUCUAAGGAGCCAAAUGGAGUAUGAAAUAAGUCUAGAGAGGAGACUGAUAUAUCUUAUGAUAUAAUGUUAAUAGAUUUUAAUUAAAAAAUUUAUAGUGUAUGUUUAAUUAGGCUGUAUUUAUGUAGUAUUCCAUAUUCCCAAAGAAACCUGUUUUUUUCCAAAGAAACCUUUGACACGGAUUCUCCAGGAUUCUGGAUUUAAGAUUCCUAGGGAAAUAUUCAAGAGGAAAAUUAGCAGAAUGAACUCCAGAGCUGCUACAAUUGGUCCUGAGGCUGUGACGGAUACUUAUCCCUCCCCUUCUCUGCCACCUCAUUCUAGAUGAUUUUCAUUCUCAGCCAGGACUUACCAGAAGUGUCCCCCUCUGGUAACCAGCACACCUAGAAUUACAGAGCCUGAAGCUGUGGAUAUAGAAGUGCAUAUUCUCCAGCGGGUCACUGGGAAUGAUGCAAUCAGAAUGUGAAGCUGCAGUGGAUCUUGAGUAUCAUUUGGUCCAGUCUUAUAUUUUACAAAUAAGGAAAAUGAGGCUCAGAGCAAAAAAGGGAUUGCCUAAGGUCAUCAAACUGAGUGGCAUGUGCUGAGCUAUCUCAUUUAGGGUUGAACUUGAUCACAAAACACUGCAAGGACCCUAGUUGGGGACCCCAUACUGUGCUUGUGUAUGAUUCUGCUGGAUCCCAGAGGUGCUGCCAAGCAGAGAUUCCUAUAUUAGGUUUUCUCUGACAGGACAGGUAUUAUCUGUUUCAACUCCAGACCCAGAACCAACUAGAGAAAGCCCAAGAUGCUCCCUUGACCGAUCACAUACAUGUCCUACUUAUAAAAAGCCCACCUUUAGCUUCUCUUUGACAACAGCGUCCAAUUGGGACACACCUGAAAUCUGUUUCCACUAUAAAGCUUUCCCAAUGCUCUGCCUGCCUUUCAGUCUCUGAAAAUGAAGCAAUGGUGGCUGACUCCCUUGCUAUAGCAAGCUCACAAUAAACAGCCUUUGAUUAUUC